ACAAUGCUUUAUUUUAUACUAUCUGAAAGCCUUUUUUCUCUCACAAUUUUACAAAGCCUUCUGCUGUUUGAAAGCUUCAGCCGUUAAUUUUCUCAAAUCUCUCUCCAUUUGUCUGCAAAUCUCAUGCUCAAUCAGCCGUUACAUGCUUAGAGUAGCAAUUGAUUUGCAAAUCCUUCUAAAAUCCCCUCUCUCGCUGUCUGCAAAUCUUUCUCAUGAUCUUUCCCAAUCUUCUUGCUAAUCCUUCUCAAAUCCCAUCGUCCGCCAUCUGCAUCAUUAUCACAACAAUUCACUCUCCCUCCGUCUACAGAUCCUUAUCACAGCAAUUGAUCUGCUAAUCUCUAUCCAUCGCGUCCCAAGUCGCUGAUACAAUGAAAUUGGAAAUCAUGAUUUGGUGCUCUACCUCACCCGCCUGAUUUCGGAACCUAUUUUGAAAGGGUAAGGUCUGCAAUCUGCACUGUACUUCAAACUACAAUUGCAAGAUAAUGUUUGUAAUCUUCAAGUUCAAAUUCACUUGAAAGAUGUUCUCCUUCUGAUUAUCAGCUUUAAAAUGAAUACUGAAUUUUCAGGUGCAGAUUUUUCUGGUUAAGAGUAAACCUCAUCAUGUUAAAGUGAUUCUGAUCUCAAAAACGGGUGAGCAUGCUACUCCAUUCAUUCGCCAAGCUGCUAGAGCUUACUCAUCGUAUGCCACCUUCGCCUCUGCUAUGUGGAGACCAGAGGAAUCUGCUUUCUGGUGGAAUAUGUUAUUAUAAAGCAAGUUGGACUUAAGCUACAAGAGAAUGGAAUGGUCUUUAUACUAAUUGCAGCUUCAACAUGUGAUUGUUCUUUGAAUUCCCCAUGCUGCACGACAUAGCAUUCGUUGGCGAACUUCGGUAGCACAAUUGGAGAAACGAGUAAGCACGGCGGCAAAUCUGGGAUAUAAGAAGUGUAACGUCUCCAAGUCAGCAGAGAAGUCGUUGUUGGAGGUGCAGCGAGGGCCGAAGGCCAUGGAGAUUGUGGGAUGCAAUAAUUUAAAGGAGAUGAUUAUCUUUGUUUUCACUAGAAAGUGAUGAUGAAAAUCAGCUUGGUUUGUAUAUUUCUUCUAGAUAUUCACUGUGGCUUGUGCAGCACUUGGGUUUUUUCUUUUGGUGAUUGCUAACAGUAGGAGGCAUGCCCAAUUUUCACUCCAAGAGGUAUUGUCAGUUUUAUGUUGUAGUACCUGCCAAUUUUCUAUUGUUUUUUCAAGAUGAAAGUUCACCAAA